GCUGAAAUAGCUCAGUUGGGAGAGCGUAAGACUGAAGAUCUUAAGUUUUCUGGUUCAAACCCAGGUUUCAUCA